AAGGCAGAGCAGGAGCAGGUGUCUUCCAUGGCAGGAGAGGGACUCAGAGAGAUGGGGAGGGAGAUGCCACACACAUUUUUUUUUUUUUUUUUUUGAGAUGGAGCCUUGCUCUGUCACCAAGCUGGAGUGCAAUAGUGAUGUCUUGGCUCACCGCACCCUCUGAUUCCCGGGUUUAAGCGAUUCUCCUGCCUCAGCCUCCCAAGUAGCUGGGAUUACAGGCACAUGCCGCCUAAUUUUUGUAUUUUUAGUAGAGAUGGGGUUUCACCAUGUUGACCAGGAUGGUCUCGAUCUCCUGACCUCGUGAUCCACCUGACUCGGCCUCCCAAAGUGCUAGGAUUACAGGCGUGAGUCACUGCGCCCGGCCACCACACACUUUUAAAACAACCAGAGCUUGCAAGAGAACUAUUGUGAGAAUAGCCCUACAGGGAUGGUGCUAAACCAUUCAUGAAGGCUCUGCCCCCACGGUCCAGUCACCUCCUCUGGCCCCACCUCCAGCGUUGAGGAUUGCAUUUCAACAUGAAAUUUGGGCGGAGACACAGAUCCAAAGCACAUCAGGGAUGCAUGAGAAGAGGCUUCACCCUCUGCCGGAUCAGGUGGAGGUUUGGCUGGGACACCCAGAGGGCAGUCAUCCUCAAGCUGCAGGGUGUCCCACUGGGGGAUGCGGAGAAGCCACCGAUCAGGCAGAUGCGACACUCCCCCCAGCAUGGCUCCUGCGGGAAGGAGAGCAAACACAAAGGGAACACAGCACUUUACAGCUUAUAAAACCCUUUCCCUACCAUUGGUCCUGGGCUGUCAAAACAACCAAGUGACCUCAGCCAAGAGGCACAGUGCACCUCAUCCUUAGAUGAGUCCAGCGAGGCUCAGACAGAGGCAGCAGCCUGCUCAGAGACACACGAAUUGCCUGGGACCGAGGCCGCCACUUCCCAGCAAAGUGUUUCCUCUUGGGAGAUCCUGGGUACAUGCAAAGCCAAGCAGCAGACAGAUCAGUUUCUAAUCCCAGCUCUGUGACCUUGAGCAAGUGACUUCCCCUCUCUGUGCCUCAAUGUCCUCCUCUCUAAAAUGAAAGUGUUACCGUGAGGGAUUAAAUGCAAUGAGUGUGUCCCUGCAGCAGCCUCCUAC
rnacentral:lncRNA from 1 species